UAAGCUGGAUAAUGCAAAGAGAAAAAGAAAUACGGUGUUCGAAAGAUACAUGCGGUGUGAAACAGAAAGUAGGUACAUAUAAAAAACAGUGAAUAAGAUGCGCACAUAUUCAAUUAGAGAGGAAAUAUUUUAUUUAUUGGCAUGUCGACAAUAAUUCUCACGUUUCUCCUACUGUUAAUAAUGCGAAUGAAUGAAAAAUUGAUCAUAGUAACGAAACAGUGUCAAAUCUUGGAUGAUUAAGCUUAUCGAAAAUAAAGUUUGAUAAAAUAGGAUAUUCUUCCGAGAACUAGUAUCAUAUUGCACGGAAGAACGAAAAUUUCUUUAACUUAAACUCCAGUCGAAUUAACCGCUUGGUAUACAUCAGGUGAUAUAUCGCGAAACGCUCUAAAUCAGCCUAAAACUUACUUAUUCUUUAUUUGUAACAUGUUUUAUGUUUAGGAUUGGUCGAAAACUGAUUUUUACCCUCGAUAUUCGUAACUAAAAGCACAUAAAAUGUCUCAUAUAUCUAAUAUUUGUAUGUUUGUAGCUGUCAUUUCGGAUAAAGGAAAGAGAAAAAGAGAAAGAUUUCUAAAAAUACAACAUACUCUGUGUUUACAAUCUUUUAACGCGGUUAAUUCCGUCGAUAAAAAUAAAUUUCUGUUAUUCGGAGGAGCCGUGCUACUAAAGAGAUAUGCAAAAUAUCUCGUCUAUAAAUGUAAGAAGAAAUGUAAGAAGUAAUGUCACCUCUAAACGUGAACGUUUAGAGAAACGUCUGAAGCACGAUAGUACCACGAUCAGCGAUCCUCUCUUAGCAAUACGUUGUCAAAUAACAACAAAUUUGCCAACCUAACCCCGUUGGUAAAGUACGAACGUCCUAACCUAACCCCAAGAACAAUCUUGACAACAAACCGACGCAAUUAUUUAGCAUACUCUUCGACAGCCUUGUAAUUAUGCAGAGCCGCGGGAAUUUCGCGACGGACCGAAAUUUCCUGAUUAAUAAUAAUCGUAAUUAGCAAUGAUGAACUUGCGACCCAGUUAUACUCGGCUUCCUGUCACGCCUAAGGCUUUGCAUUAUUUUUCGAGCUGGACGAUCCAUUGGUGCGAUUCGCGCGAUUUUCUCUUGCGUUUGACGUCGAACGUCAAGAUCGAUAGGACUUUAUUUUAGCCUGGAAACAAUAAGACGAGU